GUGUCAGCCGCCGCGGUAAUACGUAGGGUGCGAGCGUUAAUCGGAAUUACUGGGCGUAAAGCGUGCGUAGGCGGUUGCAUAAGCUUGAUGUGAAAGCCCCGGGCUUAACCUGGGAAUGGCAUUGAGGACUGUGUGGCUUGAGUGCGGCAGAGGGAGGUGGAAUUCCACGUGUAGCAGUGAAAUGCGUAGAGAUGUGGAGGAACACCGAUGGCGAAGGCAGCCUCCUGGGCCGACACUGACGCUGAGGGCACGAAAGCGUGGGGAGCAAACAGGAUUAGAUACCCCUGUAGUCC
rnacentral:rRNA from 1 species